GGCGGGCGUUUCCAACCCCCACUUACCUUGGAAGAUAAAACUGCGGACCCCUGGAUCCUUGGAACAGAGCUUCCUUUAUUUCCCGCUUGCAUCUCUCACAAACUUCCUAUCACAAUAACUCUGUUUCUUGCCUCUUUGUCUCUCACUGAAUUCCUUCUGAGCAGAGGCAUAGAGAACCUGAAGCUCAGUGAGUCCAGGCACAGGGUUCAGCCGUUCGUGCUGUCAGUUUCAGAAUGAAGCUCUCAAGCAGCAUACUGGCCCACCACACAAUGUCAUGGGUAAACUUUAUCGCUGCCAAAUUCAACUUUAAAAUGGGAAAUGGAGUCUCAAGCAGAAAAACGAGGAGCAUUGGAAAGCCAGCUUUCAACUAACACCUCAGCCAGAUUUUGUGUAUGCAGUUAUUAGAGAAAGCUAACUUGGAAAGAAGUCUUUUCAGGAUUCGCGACGCUGGCAGAUGUCCCUUCUUCCUCCUGACCGACGUCCCAACCACUUGGGGACUUGGGCACCAACUCGCCUGCUGAUGGACCCGACCCAGUGGCUAUGACCAGGACCCUCUGGUCCCUGGUAUUCUGAGGAGGAUGACCGGCCAGAGUGCCCCAACCGGGUAAGGGAAAAGAGAAUUUCUGACAUUUUCCAGGUCUCUUCUCACGAGCUGCCCUCUUUCCGUCCCUUUGAGACCUUCGAGGACCCGAGACAUGUCCAUUUCCUCCAUUCAUUAGGACUCAGAUCCGAAGGGUCUCUGUCUCUGCAGGUCUUCGGAGAGGCUACAGUCUUGCACGUAAGGGAGUGUCUGAUGAACACCGUGCUUGUGGGAUUUGUACUUUAUGUUCUGUGUUGACGUUGUAACGGCCAUUCUGCCGAGUGAAAGAGGAAGGUCUGGUUCUGUUCCACCGCAGAGCCCUGUCCAGAAUUCUGUCUGGUUGGAAAGAGGCUAAGACUAAGAAGAAAAAAAUGGUUUAACUGUAUGGCCACAACAUUGUUUAGAGUCCAGAGAAAGAUGGUUUUUGCAUGUGCGAUUUAAAAAAAUCAAGCUUGAGAGAACCUCUUUUCAGGAUUCUGAACUUGAGAGAAUAAGUCCCUCUAGGGAACCUGCUUUUCUUGCAUUUGCCUUGACCUGGGCUCCCAGGAACACCUGUCUAGACCAUCUCUAAUUCCUGAGACUGAAAAGAAAAAAUUGGGAAAAGUCUUCAAAACUUGACGGCACUAGGAUUUUUCUUAGGGACAAAGUCAAGGCCAUAGUUUGACAUAGCACAGGGUCUUUGAGAUAACUCAGGGACUUAGCGAAGGACACAUAACGGUCUCAAAUAGGGGCAGUGUAGGGCUUUAAGCCAGGAACAGUGCCUGGCACAGGGCAGAACUAUGUUUAGGGGCAGUUCAGGGCUUUCAUUAAGGACAGUGCCAGUGUCUUUGUUAGGGACAGCCCUGGGUCUUCAUUAGGUACACUGCCAGGGCCUUGGGUUUGGACAGCAGUGAUCUUAGUUAUGGACAUAACUGAGCCUUAGUCAAGGAUGGUGUGCAGCCUUAGGAAUGGUGCAGUGCCUAAGAUAAGGAUGGCAGUAGGGCUUUUCUCUUGGGCCCAUUCAAGACCAAGUCAGACACAGCACAGGGCCUCAGGGGCAGGAUCUGGGCCUUACGUGGAUGUAAUCAAGGCCUUAGUUAAGGACAUAUAAGGGUAUUAGAUAAGGACACUUAAGAGUCUUCAUCACAGAAGCUCAAGGUCUGAGUUAAACACAGUGUCAGAGCCUUAGGUUUGGACCGCAGUGCCCUGUUAGGGACAUAACUAGGCCUUAGUUAAGGACAGUGUGUCACAUUAGCAAUGGCACAGUCUCUAAGAGGGGGACAGCCUUAGGACUUUUCAUAGGGACAGAGUCAAGGCCAUAGUUGGACAUAGUUAGGGGCAGGAUCUGGGCCUUAGUUGGAGAUACUCAGGGCCUUAGUUAAGGUCAUAUAGGGGUAUUAAGGACAGCAUGGUCCCCGCAGGGCCAUGGCUGCAGAUAGAAUAGGGACUUAGGGGCAGUGUCAGGAGUUCAGUUAGGAGUUGUCCAGGGCCUUGUUAGGGAUGGAGCAGGCCUUAGGAACAGUGCAGGGUCUAAGUUGAGGACAGCAAUAGGACUUUACUUAAGGACAGAUUUAGGGCCAUAGUUGGAGAUAAUUCAGGGCCUUAGUAAAGAAAGAUACGAGUCUAGUGUAAAGACACAGAAGGUCCUUAGUUAGGGAAACAUUAGUCUAGUAUAAGGACACAUAAGGUCCUUAGUUAGGGAAGGCAAGGCCUAAUGCCCAAUGUCAGGGCUUUAGUUGUGACUGCAAAAUUCUUAAUUAGGGAAUAACUUGGCCGGAGUUAAGGACAGCGCACGACCUUAGUAACAGUGCAGGGUCUAAGUUGAGGACAGCGUGGGGAAUGUUCUUUGUCCGUUGUUGGACACAGCGUAGGUUCUUAGUUAGGAUCCGUCUACUUAGUGACAGCCCAGGGCUUUAGACAGAGACAGCUCGGGCCUCAGUUACGGACGGACAGUACAAGGCGGUUGUUAGGAUCAGCUCAGGGUUUUAGUUAGAGGCAGUCCAGGGGCUUAUUAGGAGAGAGUAGGGACCUAGGGACAGCUCAGGGGUUUAGUUAGGGAGAGUUUAGGUCUAGUUAGGGCCAGAACAUGGACUUAAUCAGGGUCAGCUUAGGGUUUUAGUUAGAGGCAGUCCAGGGGCUUAUGAGGAGAGAGUAGGGACCUAGGGAUAGUUCAGGGGUUCAGUUAGGGAGCGUUUAGGUCUAGUUAGGGCCAGAGGAUGGACUUCAUCAGUGACAGCUCAGGGCUUCAGUUAGAUGAGUAAGAGCAGGGCAGAGACUGUGUAGGGCCUAAGUUAGGGAGACAGCAGUGCCUUAGUAAGGAACACUGCAGUAACUUUUUUAGAGAUAGCUCAGAGUCUUAGGCGCAGCUCAGGGACUUACUAGGAAACCAAACAGGGCCUUUAUUGGGGACAGUGCAGGGUCUUCAUUAGUGGCAGAGCAGGCCAUUUGUUGGAGACAGCUCGGCCUUGGUUAGGGACAGUGCAGGUCUUUAGGUAGAAACAGCUCAGGGCCAUUGAUAUCUAUGUGUUGAUGCUGUGAAUUUACUGAAUUCAUGUAUUAGUUCUAAUAGCUUUUUUGGUGGAAUAGUGUGAAACAUUGGAAGUUAAAAAUCCACUGCUUCUACUGCAUUCAUGUCAUUCACAGCUCAGAAGAAAGUGGCUCCGAGUAGAAUUUUCCCUCAGUGUCUCAAAGUUACACAUGGACUUUGGGUCAAGUGAAUCUGGGAAGACUUGGCCUUCAUAUAGAAGUUUGAGGUUUUCCCUGCUUUUCUGGCACGGUAUUGACAUGGAGUUUUCAAAAGUAAUUUAUUUUCCAUUAAUUUUGAACAUACAACUUUACAAAGAUAAAAACCUGUCUUAUUUCUGGAGUAAAUAUAUUCCUACAUAGUAAUGUUGACAUUAUUGUAAAUGGAAUUGUUUUUAUAUACUCUUUUUCAGAUUAUUCAUUACUAGUGUAUACAUACAUAUUUUUGUGAAUUGAUAUUUUGUCCUGUAACUUUGCUGAAUUCGUUUACCAGGUCCAAUAAUUUUUUGUUGUUAUAGGAAGUUUUAUAUAUGAUGAUGUUACCCGUGUUUUGUGCAUUGGCGCAGUUUUAAUGUGUCCAUCCACACGUGGACGCCUUUGACUUCCUUCUUCAAGACCUCAGGUAGAACUUCUAGUACACUGUGGAGUAACGGUGGUGAAGGCCAGCUUCCCGGCCUUGUUUCUGGUUUCAGGAAUAAAUGUUUGUCUUUACUUUUGAGCACAAAA